rnacentral:rRNA from 1 species
UGCGUCUUGACAUCCUGCGAACUUGCUAGAGAUAGCUUGGUGCCUUCGGGAGCGCAGUGACAGGUGCUGCAUGGCCGUCGUCAGCUCGUGUCGUGAGAUGUUGGGUUAAGUCCCGUAACGAGCGCAACCCUUGUCCUCAGUUACCAGCACUUCGGGUGGGCACUCUGGGGAGACUGCCGGUGACAAACCGGAGGAAGGUGGGGAUGACGUCAGGUCAUCAUGGCCCUUACGGCCAGGGCUACACACGUGCUACAAUGGGGCGCACAGAGGGCAGCAAGCGCGCGAGUGCAAGCGAAUCCCUUAAAACGCCUCUCAGUCCGGAUCGGAGUCUGCAACUCGACUCCGUGAAGUCGGAAUCGCUAGUAAUCGCAGAUCAAAAUGCUGCGGUGAAUACGUUCCCGGGUCUGUAACCCCCCCGAAA